rnacentral:rRNA from 1 species
UACGUAGGGUGCGAGCGUUGUCCGGAAUUACUGGGCGUAAAGCGCGCGUAGGCGGGCUUGAAAGUUGAUUGUGAAAGCCCUGGGCUUAACCCGGGAAUGGCAGUCAAAACUACAAGUCUUGAGUGCCUGAGAGGAUGGCGGAAUUCCCGGUGUAGUAGUGAAAUACGUAGAUAUCGGGAAGAACACCUGAGGCGAAGGCGGCUAUCUGGCGGUGCACUGACGCUGAGGCGCGAAAGCGUGGGGAGCAAACAGG